rnacentral:snRNA from 1 species
UGACCCGUUGGGUCUCGCUG